UGUACUGUUUUCAAACAAAAA
rnacentral:piRNA from 1 species